UGUUUGUGACAUCACAAACGGCGUAGGAAAACAUAGUGUAAUAAUUGAAAAUUAAUAGGUUUUAUUAUACUUUCAUGUAAAAUACUCGAACCUGAUUGGUCGAGAAGCAUUUGAAAAAACAUAUUGUUACCCUCUGAGAACAGAAAACAUGCGACCCAGGGUGAUAGUAUCUAGCAACGGGUAACAGUACUUGACAACGGGUGAUAUUAUAAAAAAUUAUUACAUGCGUCAAAUUUAUGCGCGUACGGUUCGCCGUAGAUUGCUAGACGACGUCGUUUGAGCGUUUGUAAUAAACGCGAGUACCCGCAUCGAAAUACGAAAUAUCGCACGACAGUGAUUGAUCAAAUGUCAACAGACCGGAUAGAUGUGUAGAGAAGCCCACGAACAGUGUACUAGUAUGACAUAUUUACAGCAUUACAUAGGAUCUGUAGAGAACCGCAUCAGAACAAAUUUACAGCGGAUCUUUAGAGACCCCGGAGAGUAACUCGCGAUCUGUCGACUUGGAAGAGGUUCUCAGAUAGGGAAGAAUAAUUGACAGCGGAUCCGUUUACAUUAAUCGUCAGACAAUCCUAUAGACACCACAGGGUGACAGUGUUAGUUUGAUGAUUGAAUACUAAAUUAAAAGGCAUUCAGAUUA